AUACGGAGGGUCCAAGCGUUAUCCGGAUUCAUUGGGUUUAAAGGGUGCGCAGGCGGGCUUGUAAGUCAGUGGUGAAAUACUGCCGCUUAACGGUAGAACUGCCAUUGAUACUGCAAGUCUUGAAUAUGGUUGAGGUAGGCGGAAUGUGUUGUGUAGCGGUGAAAUGCAUAGAUAUGACACAGAACGCCAAUUGCGAAGGCAGCUUACUAAGCCAUUAUUGACGCUGAGGCACGAAAGCGUGGGGAGCGAACAGGAUUAGAAACCCUAGUAGUCC
rnacentral:rRNA from 1 species